UCUAAUACUGAAUAUGACCACGAGGCGCAUGUCUUGUGGUGGAAAGCUUUUGCGGUGUGGGAUGGGCCCGCGGCCUAUCAGCUUGUUGGUGGGGUGACGGCCUACCAAGGCGACGACGGGUAGCCGGCCUGAGAGGGUGUCCGGCCACACUGGGACUGAGAUACGGCCCAGACUCCUACGGGAGGCAGCAGUGGGGAAUAUUGCACAAUGGGCGCAAGCCUGAUGCAGCGACGCCGCGUGGGGGAUGACGGCCUUCGGGUUGUAAACCUCUUUCAGCAGGGACGAAGCGCAAGUGACGGUACCUGCAGAAGAAGCACCGGCCAACUACGUGCCAGCAGCCGCGGUAAUACGUAGGGUGCGAGCGUUGUCCGGAAUUACUGGGCGUAAAGAGCUCGUAGGUGGUUUGUCGCGUUGUUCGUGAAAACCGGGGGCUUAACCCUCGGCGUGCGGGCGAUACGGGCAGACUGGAGUACUGCAGGGGAGACUGGAAUUCCUGGUGUAGCGGUGGAAUGCGCAGAUAUCAGGAGGAACACCGGUGGCGAAGGCGGGUCUCUGGGCAGUAACUGACGCUGAGGAGCGAAAGCGUGGGGAGCGAACAGGAUUAGAUACCCUGGUAGUCCACGCCGUAAACGGUGGGUACUAGGUGUGGGUUUCCUUCCUUGGAAUCCGUGCCGUAGCUAACGCAUUAAGUACCCCGCCUGGGGAGUACGGCCGCAAGGCUAAAACUCAAAGGAAUUGACGGGGGCCCGCACAAGCGGCGGAGCAUGUGGAUUAAUUCGAUGCAACGCGAAGAACCUUACCUGGGUUUGA
rnacentral:rRNA from 1 species